rnacentral:lncRNA from 1 species
GUCUAAAGGAAAAUCCGUUUCCACAUAGUUAAAACUUUUUCUGCGUAAAUAGUAUACUCUGUUACAGCUCAAGGUAUAUCUGGAACCUCACAGAAAAAUGUUUUACAUCUUAACAUUUGCUUAGUAGUCUGAAUCCCAGACUUAAGUUUUCCUUUAUUGCAGAGGAAUUCACUGUGGACACGUCUUGGUAAGACAAUCCUUCAGCUAAUGCCUGAAUGAAGCGCACCAAGACACUGGUAAUUGAGCAUGGAGUUCAUCUGAAGUAACUUUCCUAUGGAAAUUGGUGUGGGCAGUCACUGGAAGAAAGAUGCUUCUUUGAGAGUCGGUUUCCUGUUGUUUCCACAUGAGGACAGAGGAAAAAUUGCUGCUGGCGAUGGUGAGCUUGAAAGAUCACAGUGAAUCCUUGCUAUGAAUUUCUUCCUGCACCUGAGAUUUGAGCAGCAGAGAAGAGACACUUAGGCAUACAUCAAAGGGUACUGUAUUUUAAAGUCAGUUUGUUUGUUUGUUUUUUUUAACUCUUUUCAUUUUCUUUGUUGCAGAAAUACUAUGUAAUGAAACAAUGGGUAGAAUUUCAUGUUCUUAAACCAUCAAAUUUAUUCAUAUGAAUCUGAAAGAGGUUGUUUUCUUUGUGCUUAGGUUUGUAAUAUUUCCGCAACACUGUAUGCAAGCAUCACUAGUAGAUGUGCAGGUAGUAACCUAAGGUAGUUAAAGCUUUUGAAUCAAGGGAAAUGUCAGUAACCCUCUUGACAUCUAUCCAGUAGUGUCCUGGAAAUUUCUACUUUCCCUUUCCUG